UGAUGACNAUUGAAGCAUUGGACGCCAGAUGACAUUCUGAAACAAUCCAACUCUUUCUGA
rnacentral:sRNA from 1 species